CCUACGGGAGGCAGCAGUGAGGAAUAUUGGUCAAUGGGCGGAAGCCUGAACCAGCCAAGUCGCGUGAGGGAAUAAGGCCCUACGGGUCGUAAACCUCUUUUGCCGGGGAGCACGGGCGGGGACGUGUCCCGUCGCGGAGAGUACCCGGAGAAAAAGCAUCGGCUAACUCCGUGUCAGCAGCCGCGAUCAUACGGAGGAUGCGAGCGGUAUCCGGAUUUAUUGGGUUUACAGGGUGCGUAGGCGGGCUUUUAAGUCAGCGGUAAAAAUUCGGGGCUCAACCCCGUCCGGUGGUUGAAACUGGGGACCGUGAGUGGGCGAGAAGAAGGCGGAAUGCGUGGUGUAGCGGUGAAAUGCAUAGAUAUCACGCAGAACCCCGAUUGCGAAGGCAGCCUUCCGGCGCCCUACUGACGCUGAGGCACGAAAGUGCGGGGAGCGAACAGGAUUAGAUACCCCUGUAGUC
rnacentral:rRNA from 1 species